rnacentral:tRNA from 1 species
GGAGGAUUAGCGAAGUGGUCAUAACGCGGCGGUCUUGAAAACCGUUUGACGGCAACGUCACGGGGGUUCGAAUCCCUCAUCCUCCGCCA